AUGGCGUUGACCAACUUGAUCCUGACGGUGGUGGGCGUGGGCGCGGCGGUGAUGCUGCUGCGGAAGGACGUGAAGCAGUCGUCCGCCGUCUUCCGCCGCAACAUUCGCCACAUCAAGACCUGGCUCGAGGAGGAGUCCACCGCCACCACAUCUGCUGAGCGAUCGGUACCCAAGGAGCUGGAGUCCCAGGCUGCCAAGAAGGAUUCCACACCCAAAGUGGACAAGGAUUAG
rnacentral:rRNA from 1 species